rnacentral:rRNA from 1 species
GGGUUGUGAGGUUAAGCGACUAAGCGUACACGGUGGAUGCCCUGGCAGUCAGAGGCGAUGAAGGACGUGCUAAUCUGCGAAAAGCGUCGGUAAGGUGAUAUGAACCGUUAUAGCCGGCGAUGUCCGAAUGGGGAAACCCAGUGCAAUUCGUUGCACUAUCGUUAACUGAAUACAUAGGUUAACGAGGCGAACCGGGGGAACUGAAACAUCUAAGUACCCCGAGGAAAAGAAAUCAACCGAGAUUCCCCCAGUAGCGGCGAGCGAACGGGGAGCAGCCCGGAGUCUGAAUCAGCUUGUGUGUUAGUGGAAGCGUCUGGAAAGUCGCAGGGUACAGGGUGAUACUCCCGUACACUAAAACACACAGGUUGUGAACUCGAAGAGUAGGGCGGGACACGUGGUAUCCUGUCUGAAUAUGGGGGGACCAUCCUCCAAGGCUAAAUACUCCUGACUGACCGAUAGUGAACCAGUACCGUGAGGGAAAGGCGAAAAGAACCCCGGCGAGGGGAGUGAAAAAGAACCUGAAACCGUGUACGUACAAGCAGUAGGAGCCCACUUGUUGGGUGACUGCGUACCUUUUGUAUAAUGGGUCAGCGACUUAUAUUCUGUAGCAAGGUUAACCGUAUAGGGGAGCCGCAGGGAAACCGAGUCUUAACUGGGCGUUAAGUUGCAGGGUAUAGACCCGAAACCCGGUGAUCUAGCCAUGGGCAGGUUGAAGGUUGGGUAACACUAACUGGAGGACCGAACCGACUAAUGUUGAAAAAUUAGCGGAUGACUUGUGGCUGGGGGUGAAAGGCCAAUCAAACCGGGAGAUAGCUGGUUCUCCCCGAAAGCUAUUUAGGUAGCGCCUCGUGAACUCAUCUUCGGGGGUAGAGCACUGUUUCGGCUAGGGGGUCAUCCCGACUUACCAACCCGAUGCAAACUACGAAUACCGAAGAAUGUUAUCACGGGAGACACACGGCGGGUGCUAACGUCCGUCGUGAAGAGGGAAACAACCCAGACCGCCAGCUAAGGUCCCAAAGUCAUGGUUAAGUGGGAAACGAUGUGGGAAGGCCCAGACAGCCAGGAUGUUGGCUUAGAAGCAGCCAUCAUUUAAAGAAAGCGUAAUAGCUCACUGGUCGAGUCGGCCUGCGCGGAAGAUGUAACGGGGCUAAACCAUGCACCGAAGCUGCGGCAGCGACACUAUGUGUUGUUGGGUAGGGGAGCGUUCUGUAAGCCGUUGAAGGUGGCCUGUGAGGGUUGCUGGAGGUAUCAGAAGUGCGAAUGCUGACAUAAGUAACGAUAAUGCGGGUGAAAAACCCGCACGCCGGAAGACCAAGGGUUCCUGUCCAACGUUAAUCGGGGCAGGGUGAGUCGACCCCUAAGGCGAGGCCGAAAGGCGUAGUCGAUGGGAAACAGGUUAAUAUUCCUGUACUCGGUGUUACUGCGAAGGGGGGACGGAGAAGGCUAUGUUGGCCGGGCGACGGUUGUCCCGGUUUAAGCAUGUAGGCGGAUGUUCCAGGUAAAUCCGGAACGUUACUAACGCUGAGGUGUGAUGACGAGGCACUACGGUGCUGAAGUGACAAAUGCCCUGCUUCCAGGAAAAGCCUCUAAGCAUCAGGUAACAUCAAAUCGUACCCCAAACCGACACAGGUGGUCAGGUAGAGAAUACCAAGGCGCUUGAGAGAACUCGGGUGAAGGAACUAGGCAAAAUGGUGCCGUAACUUCGGGAGAAGGCACGCUGAUGGUAAGUGAAGUGACUUGCUCAUGGAGCUGAAAUCAGUCGAAGAUACCAGCUGGCUGCAACUGUUUAUUAAAAACACAGCACUGUGCAAACACGAAAGUGGACGUAUACGGUGUGACGCCUGCCCGGUGCCGGAAGGUUAAUUGAUGGGGUUAUCCGUAAGGAGAAGCUCUUGAUCGAAGCCCCGGUAAACGGCGGCCGUAACUAUAACGGUCCUAAGGUAGCGAAAUUCCUUGUCGGGUAAGUUCCGACCUGCACGAAUGGCGUAAUGAUGGCCAGGCUGUCUCCACCCGAGACUCAGUGAAAUUGAACUCGCUGUGAAGAUGCAGUGUACCCGCGGCAAGACGGAAAGACCCCGUGAACCUUUACUAUAGCUUGACACUGAACACUGGUCCUUGAUGUGUAGGAUAGGUGGGAGGCUUUGAAGUGUGGACGCCAGUCUGCAUGGAGCCAUCCUUGAAAUACCACCCUUUAAUGGCUGGUGUUCUAACGUGGGCCCGUAAUCGGGGUUGCGGACAGUGUCUGGUGGGUAGUUUGACUGGGGCGGUCUCCUCCUAAAGAGUAACGGAGGAGCACGAAGGUCAGCUAAUCCUGGUCGGACAUCAGGAGGUUAGUGCAAUGGCAUAAGCUGGCUUGACUGCGAGCGUGACGGCGCGAGCAGGUGCGAAAGCAGGUCAUAGUGAUCCGGUGGUUCUGAAUGGAAGGGCCAUCGCUCAACGGAUAAAAGGUACUCCGGGGAUAACAGGCUGAUACCGCCCAAGAGUUCAUAUCGACGGCGGUGUUUGGCACCUCGAUGUCGGCUCAUCACAUCCUGGGGCUGAAGUAGGUCCCAAGGGUAUGGCUGUUCGCCAUUUAAAGUGGUACGCGAGCUGGGUUUAGAACGUCGUGAGACAGUUCGGUCCCUAUCUGCCGUGGGCGCUGGAGAAUUGAGGGGGGCUGCUCCUAGUACGAGAGGACCGGAGUGGACGCAUCACUGGUGUUCGGGUUGUCAUGCCAAUGGCAUUGCCCGGUAGCUAAAUGCGGAAGAGAUAAGUGCUGAAAGCAUCUAAGCACGAAACUUGCCCCGAGAUGAGUUCUCCCUGACUCCCUGAGAGUCCUGAAGGAACGUUGAAGACGACGACGUUGAUAGGCCGGGUGUGUAAGCGCAGCGAUGCGUUGAGCUAACCGGUACUAAUGAACCGUGAGGCUUAACCUUACAACGCCGAAG